rnacentral:rRNA from 1 species
AACUAACGCUGGCGGCGUGCCUAACACAUGCAAGUCGUACGAGAAAGGGUCCUUCGGGGCCUGAGUAAAGUGGCGCACGGGUGAGUAACGCGUGGAUAAUCUGCCCUUCAGUUGGGAAUAACCCAUCGAAAGGUGGGCUAAUACCGAAUAAUGCUGUGAGACCUCGGUUGAUCAGCCAAAGAGAGCCACUGCUUGCAAGCCCUCGCUGAAGGAUGAGUCCGCGUACCGUUAGCUAGUUGGUAGGGUAAUGGCCUACCAAGGCGACGAUGGUUAGCUGGUCUGAGAGGAUGAUCAGCCACACUGGAACUGAGACAUGGUCCAGACUCCUACGGGAGGCAGCAGUGAGGAAUCUUGCGCAAUGGGGGCAACCCUGACGCAGCAACGCCGCGUGAGUGAGGAAGGUCUUCGGAUCGUAAAGCUCUGUCGGAUGGAAAGAACCGCAUAGGGGUAAACAGCCCCUGUGUCUGACGGUACCAUCAAAGGAAGCACCGGCUAACUCCGUGCCAGCCGCCGCGGUAACAC